CAAAUAUCAUGAAGUUGUUUUAACAUUGGAAGUAGGAAAAAAAAUCUUGGACUCAUUUUUGAAGGGAAUGAAUCUCACUUUAUUGAUCAUUUAGCGAAGCAAAUCAUUGAAGAUCGGAACAAGUAUAAAGAAUUCAUUUAAUCAGCAGGUUGCGGCUUCAGCUUUGUUAUUUAAUAGUUCAAGGUGAAAUUCCUUCUCUCCUCAUCUAUCAUUCUUCCCAGCUUUCAAACGAAUGCUCUUCGUUUUCUCAUGGAACUCAAGGGGCCUAUGAGGUGUCAAGAAGAAAUCUCAUUUGAAGAGCUUGAUUGUUUUGCCUUAAGUUUGAUGUAUCGUCUAUAACAGAGACAGGGUAAAUUUGUAUCAUUGUCCAUGAUUCGCAAAAUAUGAGGCUUUUACGAUUUCCAUUGGUGAGCAAUUGAAUUAAUUGGAAGUUCGAG
rnacentral:misc_RNA from 1 species